UUGGUUCUGAGAUAGCAGGUGCUGAAAUACUGCUGAAUCCUCAAAGCCAGACUAGCCAGUGCCUGGCACCUGAUGGGAAUAUGAUUUCAACGAACAGAAAUGAAGAGACCACCCAGAAAUACAGACCCAGCCUUUCAUUCUCUUAUAUUCCUUAUGUCCAACAUUUAUUGGGCCCUUACCAUGUGCUCCAUAUGGUGCUGGGUCCUGGGAGUUGGAGUUACAAACAACUAAGAUGACAGACUUUGCUCCAAGUAGGGAUUCUUGGCUCUCAGCCCCAUGGAGAAAGUCUCCUUAUCACCUUUCUGCACAGGGGAGGAAAUCGAGAUCAAAAAAGUUAAGAGACUGAGUUAAGGCCACUCCAUCAGCUGCCCCAAAGCCCCUGUGUCUGCUCUGGCUGGCACUCUGAGGUCCCACUGCUGACAAGAGUGGAGUAAGAGGAAAAAGAGGUGAUGUGCAAUUGUGUGAGGAGUUCUUACGCUCACAGAAUCCUCCCCACAAAGCCGAGAAGCAGGAAGCAGCAACCCUCCCAGAUGAAGAAGCGAAGGCUCGGAAAAGCUAAGUAACUUCUCCAAGCUGACGCAGCUCGUGAGAGGAGGGACUGGGAUUCAAAUCCCUGCAGGGGGAGACCAGCAGCCCCGACUUCAGCCGCCAUGCCUCCUGCCUGAGAAGCUAGCUGCGAAGGUUCCAGAAGGAGACUGCCCUCCGGGAACAGAAACAGCGCAUGACUGCGACCUGUCUGCAAAAAUCUUGAUCACUUGUAAAUCCUUCUCCACCUGAUAAGUUAUCACAUUGGCUCAUGAUGUUUUUUUUCAUUCUCAGUGAGUUCAAAAUACUAUUUUGGUUUGUCUCAGUUUCUUCCUCUCUCUCUCUC
rnacentral:lncRNA from 1 species